rnacentral:rRNA from 1 species
CACUCCUGCGGGAGGCAGCAGUGGGGAAUCUUGCGCAAUGGGCGAAAGCCUGACGCAGCCAUGCCGCGUGAAUGAUGAAGGUCUUAGGAUUGUAAAAUUCUUUCACCGGGGACGAUAAUGACGGUACCCGGAGAAGAAGCCCCGGCUAACUUCGUGCCAGCAGCCGCGGUAAUACGAAGGGGGCUAGCGUUGCUCGGAAUUACUGGGCGUAAAGGGAGCGUAGGCGGACAUUUAAGUCAGGGGUGAAAUCCCGGGGCUCAACCUCGGAAUUGCCUUUGAUACUGGGUGUCUUGAGUAUGAGAGAGGUGUGUGGAACUCCGAGUGUAGAGGUGAAAUUCGUAGAUAUUCGGAAGAACACCAGUGGCGAAGGCGACACACUGGCUCAUUACUGACGCUGAGGCUCGAAAGCGUGGGGAGCAAACAGGAUUAGAUACCCGGGUAGUCCCAU